GUAGGUGAACCUGCGGAAGGAUCAUCAUUGAAUCCAUUCUACAAACCCUGUGAACCGUAUGAAAUAAGAGUGCUUUUGGCAGGAAGGCGCCUGGCAGCUAGCCUAGCGCCGUGUCUCUCCGUGCGGCGGUGGCCACAUGUACAGAAAUGUAUUUAUGGCCGGUGCCUUGCGGAUGAGCGACUGCCAUCCGCACUCGCCUUUAUAAAAAACGCUUUAAACAAUCAUUACUGAUACAAACAAAUAAACUAAA
rnacentral:misc_RNA from 1 species